rfam:Triticum aestivum genome assembly, contig: Triticum_aestivum_CS42_TGACv1_scaffold_499789_6BL
CUUGUACUCCCUCCAUCCGGAAAUACUUGUCAUUGAAAUGGAUGUAUCUAGAUGUAUUUUAGUUCUAGACACAUCCAUUAUGAUGACAAGUAAUUCCGGACGAAGGGAGUACUUG